rnacentral:misc_RNA from 1 species
GAUGAAGAACGCAGCGAAAUGCGAUAACUAAUGUGAAUUGCAGAAUUCAGUGAAUCAUCGAGUCUUUGAACGCACAUUGCGCCCCCUGGUAUUCCGGGGGGCAUGCCUGUCCGAGCGUCAUUGCUGCCCUCAAGCACGGCUUGUGUGUUGGGCUCCGUCCCCCCGGGGACGGGCCCGAAAGGCAGCGGCGGCACCGAGCCCGGUCCUCGAGCGUAUGGGGCUUUGUCACCCGCUCUGUAGGCCCGGCCGGCGCCAGCCGACAACCCAUCAUCCUUUUCAGGUUGACCUCGGAUCAGGUAGGGAUACCCGCUGAACUUAAGCAUAUCAAUAAGCGGAGGA